rnacentral:siRNA from 1 species
AAGCUUCCAAGUACUUGUUUGUA